AAAAAUAAAUAAAUAAAAAUAAAUUUCUCAUAAUAAAGCAAAAAAAAGAAGUCAAAGAAAUAGUUGUGGUUUUUUAUUCUGAGUGAAAUGGACAGUCAACGGAGGGCAGUAAGCAAAUUAGUGAUAGAAUCAGACUUGUGUUUUGAAAAGCUCAUCCUGGCUGCUGUGCUUAGAAUAGACUGUGUUGUAGAAAAUACAAACAGGGAAGACCCCAUAGAAAGCUGACGCCAUAUUCUAGGAUCUCCAACUGUUGCACCUUUCUUCAAAGAUACGGGCUUCUACAAGGUUUUCAUCAUAGCUACUACAACAGGAGGUCCAGUAGCUCUGGGCUCAAUGCCAAAGCAACCAGAUCCAUGGAGUCUCUGGCCUCUACGUGGCUAACCAGAAGGCUUGGCAAAUUCAGGCUGGAAAUACAGAACAUGUAAUAGUUUGUCGGACAACUUUUAACCCAAUAUGGACAAGAUAUGGGAAGAAGCACACAACUAAUGACUCAGAGCUAUCCCAAGAAAAAGAAAAUGGAAAGAAACCAGAAGUCUUUUCUAGGACACAUCAUUUUAAGGGAAGAUGGGAGAGAUAUGAAGAAGCAGCUGUGGAGAUGCAACGCUGGACAUGAAAUGGGUGUGGAAGACAACGGAAAGCCAGUUGGUCAAGACCCUUGGGAAGAAAAGAAUCUUUAAAAGGUCUCUGUUAGCGUGGGACUAAAUUGUAAUCAGACAUUGUGAAUAAGAUGAAAUACUAAAGAAAGAAAGAAAGAAAAAUAUAGGGCACAUACAGAACUGAUCAAGAAGGGAUUAUCAAGAGACAAUUACUCAACUACCCAUUUGCAAGUGAGCAUAUUCUCACCCAACACUGUUUUCAGUUAUGAUUGAAUGGAAGCUCUAAUUGAAUAGUUCUUUGUGGUGUUCAAAGUCCAAGACAGCAAGUUGUUCUUUUGUAUGGGUUCAUAAGUUUUCCCAGAAUGAACUGUAAAACACUCAUGAUUUCCCUGAACUGUGGCAAAGUGACUUACCCAGUUUCUGGCAAAUUUAUUAAGCAAUACAGACUCCCUGCUUAAUCCAUUGGUUUAAACAAUAUUCAGUUAACACAAAUUAGUGAAUAAGCAGAGACAUAGGUCAGCUGAUCGAAGAAAGAUGUAAAAGUAAAUUAAAAUAAAAUUUAUUUGAAAACAGCAAUGGGUCAGAGCUAAAGCCCAGUACAAGUUAGAACAAAUAAAAACCCAUUAAUCUGAAAAACCUUCUUGGGUUUACAAGAAGGCUUUUCUGAUCUCAGGCUGUAUUUAUCCUCUAGAUGGAAAAAAAAGAGGAGCAAUAAAUCUCUUCAUAUCAAAGGCCUGUUCAGCAGAAAUGAAUUGAAAGUGUUGGGUCAAUUAGACUGAACUAGAUCUCCCCCAGGCAAACCUACUAUCGAUACAUAUUUAGCUUCCAGACACCUUUAAAGGCAGCCUGGGAAAGGCUGGCUAGCAAAGAAAAAAAAAGAUAAUUCUAAAAUUUGAGUUCCCUUUGAACUCCAUCCACUACAGCAAUAAAAAGAGCUGUUUCUGCUCUAUUGCAUUUUGUUGAAACAAAAAAAAAAUAGACUGGAGAAAUGAAUAAGCUCGGCAUAUUAUGUAGAUAAAAUGGUAUUAUGGCAAGAGAAUGAAGAACAAAGAGCUAAGAACCAGAUUCCUGUCGCAGCUCUGCUCUCAUAGCUGUGUGACUUCUGGUCAGUCCUUAGACUUUGAAAUCUAUAGGCUACAUGUCUGGAAAUAAGAGGAUAACAGAUUAUUCUUAAGUUUCUCUGUGAUUCAAAAAUAUCUAUGAAUCUAAAGGAAGGAAGACAGUUAUGUGGAUUGGUUAUUGGAAAAGAAUCUAAAGUAAUUGUUUCAUGUAUGCAUAAAAGGGAAGAUCCAGCUAUAAAUUGUCAAGAUAUCUUCAAAAACACCUUUUAUUAUUGAAAGCUACAAAGAGGACAAAUAGUCAAAUAAAUUUUUGUAGGAACACUCAUAAAUAAUAUUUACUAGUAUCUAGUGAGCAUUUACUAUUUGAAUUACUUUUGUAGAAAGUCUUAUUUAGUCCAAUACAAUCCUUUGAGAUAGAUGCCGUUUUAUAUAAAUUUUAUACAUAAGUCAACUGAGAUACCAUUAUAGACUCAGAAUGUUCUAAGAGGCAAACCAGGAUUUAGUCUCGUACUGUUCAAACUCUACUAAUCACUGUGUAAUUAUAAGCACUCUUCUAGAUCACCAUUUGUAGAUGGCAUAGUAAAGUAAAGACAUCUUCAGCUUGUGCUUCAAGCCAGAACAUACACUGUCACAUUUAAAACUCCAGUGUCUCUGUGAUGGGCUUAUUUGUAUUAUUCCUCUUCCUUUGGUCUAAGUGAAAAUACUUUUUCUUAAUUUCCUGAGACAAUCUGAGAAAAUGAAUCUAGUGAAAAUGCUAGAGUAACUCAUUGGAUUUGAGCGCUCCAACCAUUGAAAUACUAUGGUAUCAACUGGACUAAGAAUCAGAGGACCUCUAUUCAAGGCCUUUCUUUACUAAUUGUGAGUGGGACCUCGAGCAAAUUUCUCACCACUCUAAACAUCAGUUUCCCAACUAUAAAACAGAACUUUUCUCGCUAAUAUUACAAUGUUAAAGAGGUAAAAUAGAAAAAAGAAGGACUUUGGAUCUAGAGGAGCCUAGAUGGGAAUUUUGUGAGGAGUCAUGUGACCUUGUACAAAUUACUCAAACGUUUCUGAGUCUCAUGUUCUUUGUCUGAGUAAUGGUGAUGAUAAUAGUGAUAUGGACAGUAGGCAGCGAAAUACUGGGCAGAAGAGAGCAGUGCCCCAGCAAAGGCCCCACCCUCAAGCCUGGAAACCCGCAGCCCUAAAUGGGAACAAGCAUUCCUGUUUUCAUGCCCAAAUGUUGUCUUUUGGCCCACCAUGUCCCCCACUAUCUUGUACCCAUAUAAACUCCAAACCUCAGGCUCCACGAGCAGAGGAACAGCAGAGCGGCAGAGCAGCAGGGCAGCACAGCAGUGCAGCAGAGAAGGAGAGAAAAGGAGUAUAUGAACGUUAGGAGGAGUUCGGCUGGGGAUGGUCAGAGAGGAGACUGGCCACAGGAUGGCCGAACUCCAGGGGAAGAUCAUCUUCCCACUAAAUCCCCUUUCCAGCUCCCCAUCCAUCCCACUGAGAGCCACCUCCACCACUCAAUAAAAUCCCUGCAUUCACCAUCCUUUAAUUCCGAGUGACCUGAUUCUUCCUGGGUACUGAAAAAGGGGCCAGGUACCAAGAAGGCAGGGUGUAAAAGACUGUGACCCUGACUCUCCACUGAGCUUGUUUAACACUUAGCCACCCACGGACAGCAACUGCUAAAAGAGUAUUAAUUGUAACACACCUCUAGAUGCUUCCGUGGGGCCAGAGCCCAAAAGCACUUGCCCUGGCUCCUGCACCUGCCCAUCUGUGUGCUUCCCCUCUUGUAAGGGAUUUGAGCACCCAGCAGCCAAAUAAACAAGCCACACCCCUAUGAGGGGGUCAGGGAACUCACCCAUUUAAAUAGUAACAACUUCACAAGGCUAAAGUAUAGAUUAAAUUAGAGAACUUUCCUCAAAUGUAGUAGUUUAACCCACAAUAAUGGAAAACAAAUAACUAGAAGAGACUCUGAACAUUGGUGAACCAUUCUGUUUUAAAUAUAAUGUAUACCCACAAAUUGUCUUUUGGGCAUGUAUGUUUUCUUGUAUAUUUGUUCGUUUAUCUCCAGCAAUAGAGAUGAAUUUGUGCUGAGACACUAAUUUUCUUUCUCCUUACCUUCUUUUCUCUUCUCCUUUUCUUUUGUGUGGCAAAAAUAAUGCAUUAUUUUAAAAAAUACUGCUGGCAAGUGUCCUUCCCAGUCCACAUGGGGGCUAACCCCUCCUCAACCUUACUAAAAGGGUGGGCUCCAAAAACUAAUUAGUCGUGUACAGUAAAAAUAAGAAAAUUACACUAUUUAAAUUGACGGUUUGUUUAAAAAUGUUUUGCAAAUUCACGUUUUGUUAAAAUGUCUAACUAUAUAUGUAAUUUACAUAACCUAUGGAAUCAAGAAAAGAAUAUCCCUUUCAGAUAUGUUAAAUGGAAUGAACAAAUAUGUACAUCGCUAUUAUAUGUGCCACAUUCUCUUUCACCCAGAUGCCAUCUAUAAAAAGCUCAGAAAUGAACGGUAAUUUAAACUAUAAAUCUAUAUUUAACACACUAUAAAUGAGUAGACUAGUGUGUAUAAUAUUUUGCUUCUAUCCCCCUUUGAAUUAAUCUAGUUCUUACUCUAUAUAAAUAUCUACUUGUUGUGUUCUUUUCAUUUCAUCAGGUGAGAAAGACUGAAAAUGAAAGGCCCUUAAAUGAGAAAGGUAAUAUGGAAAAUAAAAUGGAUAUCUCAGCCCUGUCAUUCAAGUAUCCCUAGUGCAAACAUGUAAUUUUGUAAUUUAUUGUCCAAAGAGGAUACUUUUGAAAUGGAAAGGGGCACUAUAAAUAAUUGUACCAGGAAAAUAGGAGGAAACCAGUGUUUCUCAAAUAAAUUGAGAUAUAUGGUUGACAGGUCACUUAAGUUGUGUCAUUUUAACUUCCAAAACACUUUCUGCCUGUUCAAAAUAAAUCCAAAAGGUACCCUGCCUCCCAGCCCCUUUGACAGUCUCUGCUGCUCCACCAUCAAGUGACUUUUCCCCCUGGAUUGCUACAAUAGCCUCACAGGAGCCUCUUAGCUUCCACCCUGGCCCUCCCCACUUCUCCAACUCUCCAGUCAAUUUUCUGUAUAGCAACAAAAGAUAUACUUUUACAGCAGUGGUUCUCAACUGGAAGAGGUUUUGUCCCCUGUCUUGUGACACAUGGCAAUGCCUGGAGAUAAUAUUGAUUGUCACACCUAGGAGGCUGCUACCAGCAUCUAGCAGGGAGAGGCCAGGGAUGCGGCAAAACAUCCUACACUGCCAUGUGACAGCGCCCAUAACAAAAAAGUACCUAAUCC
rnacentral:lncRNA from 10 species